GGGGAAUAUUGGACAAUGGGGGAAACCCUGAUCCAGCAACGCCGCGUGAGUGAUGAAGGCCUUCGGGUUGUAAAGCUCUGUUGAGAGGGACGAAAUAGCAGAUUAAUAACCUGCUUUGACUUAACCUCUUGAGGAAGCAACGGCUAACUCUGUGCCAGCAGCCGCGGUAAUACAGAGGUUGCAAGUGUUGUUCGGAAUCAUUGGGCGUAAAGGGCGCGUAGGCGGUUUGAUAAGUCAGAUGUGAAAUCCCUGGGCUUAACUCAGGAACUGCAUUUGAUACUGUCAAACUAGAGUGCGAUAGAGGAAGGUGGAAUUUCCGGUGUAGAGGUGAAAUUCGUAGAUAUCGGGAGGAACACCAGUGGCGAAGGCGGCCUUCUGGGUCGACACUGACGCUGAUGCGCGAAAGCGUGGGUAGCAAAC
rnacentral:rRNA from 1 species